ACUCCUACGGGAGGCAGCAGUGGGGAAUUUUGGACAAUGGGCGCAAGCCUGAUCCAGCAAUGCCGCGUGAGUGAAGAAGGCCUUCGGGUUGUAAAGCUCUUUUGUCAGGGAAGAAACGGGACCAGCUAAUAUCUGGUCCUAAUGACGGUACCUGAAGAAUAAGCACCGGCUAACUACGUGCCAGCAGCCGCGGUAAUAC
rnacentral:rRNA from 1 species